AGCAGCCGCGGUAAUUCCAGCUCCAAUAGCGUAUAUUAAAGUUGUUGCAGUUAAAAAGCUCGUAGUUGAAUUUCGGGAUUGACGUGAUGGUCGUGCCUUAAGGGGUAUGAACUGUCGCAGUUGAUUUCUCACCUUCUGGAGAAGCAUGAUGUCCUUAAUUGGGUGUCAUGUGGAACCAGGACCUUUACCUUGAAAAAUUAGAGUGUUUAAAGCAGGCAUUUUGCUCGAAUACAUUAGCAUGGAAUAAUAGAAUAGGACGGCAUGGUUCUAUUUUGUUGGUUUCUAGGAUCACCGUAAUGAUUAAUAGGGAUAGUUGGGGGCAUUAGUAUUCAAUUGUCAGAGGUGAAAUUCUUGGAUUUAUUGAAGACUAACUACUGCGAAAGCAUUUGCCAAGGAUGUUUUCAUUAAUCAAGAACGAAAGUUAGGGGAUCGAAGACGAUCAGAUACCGUCGUAGUCUUAACCAUAAACUAUGCCGACUAGGAAUCAGACGAUGUUAAUUUUUAANGUACUUCGG
rnacentral:rRNA from 1 species